GAUGAACGCUAGCGGCAGGCUUAACACAUGCAAGUCGAGGGGUAACGAUAGUGCUUGCACUAGGCGACGACCGGCGCACGGGUGAGUAACGCGUAUGCAACCUACCUCAAACUGGGGGAUAGCCCAGGGAAACUUGGAUUAAUACCCCAUAGUGUGUAUCAUUCGCAUGUUUGAUGUACUAAAGUUCCGGCGGUUUGAGAUGGGCAUGCGUGCCAUUAGAUAGUUGGUGAGGUAACGGCUCACCAAGUCAGCGAUGGCUACGGGGUCUUAAAGGAUGGUCCCGCGCACUGGUACUGAGACACGGACCAG
rnacentral:rRNA from 1 species